GACGAACGCUGGCGGCGUGCUUAACACAUGCAAGUCGAACGAAGUGGCGAACGGGUGAGUAACGCGUAAUCAACCUGCCCUUCAGAGGGGGACAACAGUUGGAAACGACUGCUAAUACCGCAUACUGAAGGAGGGGAUUGCGUCUGAUUCGCUAGUUGGAGGGGUAACGGCCCACCAAGGCGAUGAUCAGUAGCCGGUCUGGGAGGAGGAACGGCCAAAUGGGGACUGGAGAACGGCCCAAACUCCCACGGGAGGCAGGAGGGGGGAAUCUUCCGGAAUUGACGGAAGGCGGACGGGGCAACGCCGCGUGAGGGAUGACGGCCUUCGGGUUGUAAAGCUCUGUUAAUCGGGACGCGGUACCGGAAUAGAAAGCCACGGCUAACUACGUGCCAGCAGCCGCGGUAAUUC
rnacentral:rRNA from 1 species